UGAGGUUCCCACAUCUUCAAUCAGACAAAACAUAUUAGUAUAUCUUCUUCCUUCGGGGCUCCAUCCUGUUUAAUAUAAACUCAUCAGAUCUGUAUUGAUCAUCGCAAAAGCUUUAAUCAUGAAAUUAAAGGAUCGGAGAAAGUUUCAUUCCUGAAACGCAGACUCAAUCACUCGCUAUGUUCUCCUGAUCAUCUCGCUUGGCUCUGCACUUUAUCUGAGGGUUUAAGGACCUAUAUUCAUCCUAUUCGAUGGCUGAUAGCCGGAAUGGUAAUGUCAAG